GAAACCGUUCAGGGGUAAACCUGAGAAACCCAAAAGAUCGAAUGGGGAGAUUCAUCGUCAACAGCGCUGGCUCCCGUUGGUGCGUGAUGCCCCGAAUGGACUCUCUCGGGUCCAAGGCGAGGGCACAUCAUCUUCGGCUCGAACGCUCCGGCGCGGUAGUCGUGCACUUCUCCCCUAGUAGAACGUCGCGACCCGUUGCGUGUCGGUCUACGGCCCGAGCGGGCGCCUGUCGCGUCGCCUCGUGCGUUCGCGUCAGACCCUCGGUCGCCUGGCCGGCUGCGCGACGGUACUCUGACGGUAUCGGGCCGCAACCAAUCCAUUCUCGAAUGUAUGUGCGUCAGGCCCGCCGCAAGCUCGGUCAGUUUCACCCGGAGGUACGGACCCAGUGCCGUCCCCGGGCCUGGCCAGCUGUUAGCAGGCGGAGACCUCGGACUGGCCAAGCUUUGAAUUACCGGUCGGCGACGCUAUUGCUUUGGGUACUCUCAGGACCCGUCUUGAAACACGGACCAAGGAGUCUAACAUGUGCGCGAGUCAUUGGGAUGCACAAGCCUAAAGGCGAAAUGAAAGUGAAAGUCGGCCUUCGCGUCGACCGAGGGAGGAUGGGCCGCGUUACGAUAAGGCCCCGCACUCCCGGGGCGUCUCGCUCUCAUUGCGAGAGGAGGCGCACCCAGAGCGUACACGUUGGGACCCGAAAGAUGGUGAACUAUGCCUGGUCAGGACGAAGUCAGGGGAAACCCUGAUGGAGGUCCGUAGCGAUUCUGACGUGCAAAUCGAUCGUCGGAACUGGGUAUAGGGGCGAAAGACUAAUCGAACCAUCUAGUAGCUGGUUCCCUCCGAAGUUUCCCUCAGGAUAGCUGGCACUCGCUCGUUCCUCCGUGAACGCGCGCGAGUCUCAUCUGGUAAAGCGAAUGAUUAGAGGCCUUGGGGCCGAAACGACCUCAACCUAUUCUCAAACUUUAAAUGGGUGAGAUCUCUGGCUUGCUUGGAUCAUGAAGCCACGAGAUUUUGGAUCAGAGUGCCAAGUGGGCCAAUUUUGGUAAGCAGAACUGGCGCUGUGGGAUGAACCAAACGCAGAGUUAAGGCGCCUAAGUCGACGCUUAUGGGAUACCAUGAAAGGCGUUGGUUGCUUAAGACAGCAGGACGGUGGCCA
rnacentral:rRNA from 1 species